rnacentral:rRNA from 1 species
UACGUAGGGUGCAAGCGUUGUCCGGAAUUAUUGGGCGUAAAGAGCUCGUAGGCGGUCUGUUACGUCGGCGUGUGAAAACCUGGGGCCCAACCUCCAGCCUGCGUGGGUACGGGGCAGACAGAGUGCGGUAGGGGAGAUUGGAAUCCUGGUGUAGCGGUGGAAUGCGCAGAUAUCAGGAGGAACACCGAUGGCGAAGGCAGAUCUCUGGGCCGUAACUGACGCUGAGGAGCGAAAGCAUGGGGAGCGAACAGG